rnacentral:rRNA from 12 species
GGCAGCUGCACAGCAGCCAAGUGCGGGUGCCUGAUAGCUUCCGAUCUCAGAAGCUAAACAGGGCUGUGCUUGGUUAGUACUUGAUUGGGAGACCAGCUUAGAAAACCAGGGGCCGCUAGCC